rnacentral:rRNA from 1 species
AUUGAACGCUGGCGGCAGGCCUAACACAUGCAAGUCGAACGAGUGGCGGACGGGUGAGUAAUGUCUGGGAAACUGCCCGAUGGAGGGGGAUAACUACUGGAAACGGUAGCUAAUACCGCAUACCAUCGGAUGUGCCCAGAUGGGAUUAGCUUGUAGGUGAGGUAACGGCUCACCUAGGCGACGAUCCCUAGCUGGUCUGAGAGGAUGAUCAGCCACCAUGGAACUGAGCACCGGUCCGGACUCCUACGGGAGGAGGCCGUGGGGAAUAUUGCACAAUGGGCGAAAGCCUGAUGCUGCCAUGCCGCGUGAAUGAAGAAGGCCUUCGGGUUUUAAAGUACUUUCAGCGGGGAGGCGUUACCCGCAGAAGAAGCACCGGCUAACUCCGUGCCAGCAGCCGCGGUAAUUC